GGUUCAAUAGCUCAGUUGGUUUAGAGCAUCUGUUUUACAAGCAGAAGGUCCAAAGUUCGAAUCUUUGUUGAACCA
rnacentral:tRNA from 1 species